UUAAGCGACUAAGCGUACACGGUGGAUGCCUAGGCAGUCAGAGGCGAUGAAGGGCGUGCUAAUCUGCGAAAAGCGUCGGUAAGGUGAUAUGAACCGUUACAACCGACGAUACCCGAAUGGGGAAACCCAGUGCAAUUCGUUGCACUAUUGCAUGGUGAAUACAUAGCCAUGCAAGGCGAACCGGGGGAACUGAAACAUCUAAGUACCCCGAGGAAAAGAAAUCAACCGAGAUUCCCCCAGUAGCGGCGAGCGAACGGGGAGGAGCCCAGAACCUGAAUCAGCAUAUGUGUUAGUGGAAGCGUCUGGAAAGUCGCACGGUACAGGGUGAUAGUCCCGUACACAAAAAUGCAUAUGUUGUGAGUUCGAUGAGUAGGGCGGGACACGUGACAUCCUGUCUGAAUAUGGGGGGACCAUCCUCCAAGGCUAAAUACUCCUGACUGACCGAUAGUGAACCAGUACCGUGAGGGAAAGGCGAAAAGAACCCCGGCGAGGGGAGUGAAAUAGAACCUGAAACCGUGUACGUACAAGCAGUGGGAGCACCUUCGUGGUGUGACUGCGUACCUUUUGUAUAAUGGGUCAGCGACUUAUAUUUUGUAGCAAGGUUAACCGAAUAGGGGAGCCGUAGGGAAACCGAGUCUUAACUGGGCGAAUAGUUGCAAGGUAUAGACCCGAAACCCGGUGAUCUAGCCAUGGGCAGGUUGAAGGUUGGGUAACACUAACUGGAGGACCGAACCGACUAAUGUUGAAAAAUUAGCGGAUGACUUGUGGCUGGGGGUGAAAGGCCAAUCAAACCGGGAGAUAGCUGGUUCUCCCCGAAAGCUAUUUAGGUAGCGCCUCGUGAACUCAUCUUCGGGGGUAGAGCACUGUUUCGGCUAGGGGGUCAUCCCGACUUACCAAACCGAUGCAAACUCCGAAUACCGAAGAAUGUUAUCACGGGAGACACACGGCGGGUGCUAACGUCCGUCGUGAAGAGGGAAACAACCCAGACCGCCAGCUAAGGUCCCAAAGUCAUGGUUAAGUGGGAAACGAUGUGGGAAGGCAUAGACAGCCAGGAUGUUGGCUUAGAAGCAGCCAUCAUUUAAAGAAAGCGUAAUAGCUCACUGGUCGAGUCGGCCUGCGCGGAAGAUGUAACGGGGCUAAACCAUGCACCGAAGCUGCGGCAGCGACGCUUAGGCGUUGUUGGGUAGGGGAGCGUUCUGUAAGCCGUUGAAGGUGACCUGUGAGGGUUGCUGGAGGUAUCAGAAGUGCGAAUGCUGACAUAAGUAACGAUAAUGCGGGUGAAAAACCCGCACGCCGGAAGACCAAGGGUUCCUGUCCAACGUUAAUCGGGGCAGGGUGAGUCGACCCCUAAGGCGAGGCUGAAAAGCGUAGUCGAUGGGAAACAGGUUAAUAUUCCUGUACUUGGUGUUACUGCGAAGGGGGGACGGAGAAGGCUAGGCUAGCCGGGCGACGGUUGUCCCGGUUUAAGCAUGUAGGCGGAGUGACUUGGUAAAUCCGGUUGCUUAUCAACGCUGAGGUGUGAUGACGAGUCACUACGGUGAUGAAGUAGUUGAUGCCAAGCUUCCAGGAAAAGCCUCUAAGCAUCAGGUAACAUUAAAUCGUACCCCAAACCGACACAGGUGGUCAGGUAGAGAAUACUCAGGCGCUUGAGAGAACUCGGGUGAAGGAACUAGGCAAAAUGGUGCCGUAACUUCGGGAGAAGGCACGCUGGCAUUAGGUAAAGGGACUUGCUCCCGGCGCCGAAGCCAGUCGCAGAUACCAGCUGGCUGCAACUGUUUAAUAAAAACACAGCACUGUGCAAACACGAAAGUGGACGUAUACGGUGUGACGCCUGCCCGGUGCUGGAAGGUUAAUUGAUGGGGUCAGCCGCAAGGCGAAGCUCUUGAUCGAAGCCCCAGUAAACGGCGGCCGUAACUAUAACGGUCCUAAGGUAGCGAAAUUCCUUGUCGGGUAAGUUCCGACCUGCACGAAUGGCGUAAUGAUGGCCAGGCUGUCUCCACCCGAGACUCAGUGAAAUUGAACUCGCUGUGAAGAUGCAGUGUACCCGCGGCAAGACGGAAAGACCCCGUGAACCUUUACUAUAGCUUGACACUGAACAUUGAGCCUUGAUGUGUAGGAUAGGUGGGAGGCAUUGAAGUGUGGACGCCAGUCUGCAUGGAGCCAACCUUGAAAUACCACCCUUUAAUGUUUGAUGUUCUAACUCGGCCCCAUAAUCUGGGGUGAGGACAGUGUCUGGUGGGUAGUUUGACUGGGGCGGUCUCCUCCCAAAGAGUAACGGAGGAGCACGAAGGUUAGCUAAUCACGGUCGGACAUCGUGAGGUUAGUGCAAAGGCAUAAGCUAGCUUGACUGCGAGAGUGACGGCUCGAGCAGGUACGAAAGUAGGUCUUAGUGAUCCGGUGGUUCUGAAUGGAAGGGCCAUCGCUCAACGGAUAAAAGGUACUCCGGGGAUAACAGGCUGAUACCGCCCAAGAGUUCAUAUCGACGGCGGUGUUUGGCACCUCGAUGUCGGCUCAUCACAUCCUGGGGCUGAAGUAGGUCCCAAGGGUAUGGCUGUUCGCCAUUUAAAGUGGUACGCGAGCUGGGUUUAGAACGUCGUGAGACAGUUCGGUCCCUAUCUGCCGUGGGCGUUGGAAGAUUGAGAGGGGCUGCUCCUAGUACGAGAGGACCGGAGUGGACGAAUCACUGGUGUUCGGGUUGUCAUGCCAAUGGCAUUGCCCGGUAGCUAAAUUCGGAAGAGAUAACCGCUGAAAGCAUCUAAGCGGGAAACUUGCCUCGAGAUGAGUCUUCCCUGGGGCUUUAAGCCCCCUGAAGGAACGUUAAAGACUAUGACGUUGAUAGGCUGGGUGUGUAAGUGCAGCGAUGCAUUGAGCUAACCAGUACUAAUGAUCCGUGAGGCUUAACCUU
rnacentral:rRNA from 1 species